GAUGAACGCUAGCGGCAGGCUUAACACAUGCAAGUCGAGGGACCGGCGCACGGGAGAGUAACACGUAUCCAACCUGCCCUUUACUCGAGGAUAGCCUUUCGAAAGAAAGAUUACUACCCGAUGGAAAGGAUGGGGAUGCGUUCCAUUAGUUUGUUGGUGAGGUAACGGCUCACCCAGCCUUCGGUGGUUAGGGGUGGGGAGGGGAAGGUACCCCAGAUUGGAACUGAGACACGGUCCAAUCUCCUACGCGAGGCAGCAGUGAUGAAUAUUGGUCAAUGGGCGCUGGCCUGACCCAGCCAAGUAGCGUGAAGGAUGAUGGCUUAUUGGUCGUAAACUUCUUGUAUAUAAGACUAUGUAUUAUAUGAAUAAGCAUCGGCUAACUCCGUGCCAGCAGCCGCGGUAAUAC
rnacentral:rRNA from 1 species